UGCCCUUUUGUGGUAAACAGCCGCUGUAUUUUGACGGUGCUAAGGUAUCGAAAUUCCUAGCCUUUUAAUUGGAGGCCUGCAUGAAUGGCUUGACGAGCGCCUGACUGUCUCUCUCCCGCAUGUAGUGAAAUUAACUUUUGUGUGCAAAGGCACAAAUAAUUGAGUAAGACGAAAAGACCCUGUGCAACUUUACUAAGAAAAGAGGGGUUACCUACUUGUAGUUUAGCUGGGGCAGCUUAGGAAAAGAUAAAACUUCCUUGAAUUUAAGAUACUGGUAGGUUUGGAUCCGACGUAAUUAUUGUGUAGGUCGAGUAGCAGAAAAGUUACGCCAGGGAUAACAGCGUUAUCCUUCUGUGGAGGUCUUAUCUGCAGGGGGGAUUGCGACCUCG
rnacentral:rRNA from 1 species